AAUUUUGUGGAGUUUGAUUAUGUGGAAAACUAACUCGAUUUCGGUCAUUUCGGUACCAGUUUGGUGAAUUAUGGAUCCAAAUGGAAUUCUGUGCGAAGUUUUGAAGUUGUGACUCGAAAGCAGAUUUUGUGCAAAAUAUUUGAGUGACAUACCUUCACUAAAACGGUAAUUAAUCUCUCUUUGUAACUCCAAAUUUAGUGGGGUUUGAUU
rnacentral:lncRNA from 1 species